rnacentral:rRNA from 1 species
GAUCCUGGCUCAGGAUGAACGCUAGCGGCAGGCUUAAUACAUGCAAGUCGAACGGGAUUCGGGGUAGCAAUACUUUGAUGAGAGUGGCGCACGGGUGCGUAACGCGUAUGCAACCUACCUUUAACAGGGGAAUAGCCCCGAGAAAUCGGGAUUAAUACUCCGUAACAUUGCGGUGUGGCAUCACACUGCAAUUAAAGAUUUAUCGGUUAAAGAUGGGCAUGCGUGACAUUAGCUAGUUGGUGAGGUAACGGCUCACCAAGGCAACGAUGUCUAGGGGUCCUGAGAGGGUUAUCCCCCACACUGGUACUGAGACACGGACCAGACUCCUACGGGAGGCAGCAGUAAGGAAUAUUGGUCAAUGGGCGCAAGCCUGAACCAGCCAUGCCGCGUGCAGGAAGACGGCCCUAUGGGUUGUAAACUGCUUUUAUCAGGGAAUAAACCCCCGCUCGUGAGCGGGGCUGAAGGUACCUGAAGAAUAAGCAUCGGCUAACUCCGUGCCAGCAGCCGCGGUAA